rnacentral:rRNA from 1 species
AGAGUUUGAUCCUGGCUCAGAAAUCAACGCUGGCGGCGUGCCUAACACAUGCAAGUCGCACGAGAAAGGGACUUCGGUCCUGAGUACAGUGGCGCACGGGUGAGUAACACGUGAAUCAUCUACCUUCGGGUGGGGAAUAACUGAGAGAAAUCUUAGCUAAUACCGCAUAAUACCUACGGGUCGAAGCAGCAAUGCGCUUGAAGUGGAGUUCGCGGCAGAUUAGUUAGUUGGCGGGGUAAUGGCCCACCAAGACGAUGAUCUGUAUCCGGCCUGAGAGGGCGCACGGACACACUGGAACUGAAACACGGUCCAGACUCCUACGGGAGGCAGCAGUGGGGAAUUUUGCGCAAUGGGGGAAACCCUGACGCAGCAACGCCGCGUGGAGGAUGAAAUCCCUUGGGAUGUAAACUCCUUUCGAUCGGGAAGAUAAUGACGGUACCGA